AUUCCUCAUUGGAUUUUUAAGCUCUGGACUUACAAGCGCUAAACAUAAACAACAACAAGAAUAGUAUCGUGGUAGCCUUGCCUAUGAGACAGCCUGCAGUUUUUUAAUUUGUCUGAGUCCUGGACCUCAGCCUAGAUGUAACCUUGCUCUGUUGCUGUCCUCUAGAGGCCUGGCACUGUGGACUCGGUGUUGUCUAGCAGAGAGGCCUUGAGGAAGUGGCCCAGCAGUGUGCUUGCAUUUCCAAGGAUUGAGCUCAAGGAGAUGGAAAACAAACUGCCUAUGGAGACCCUUGUAGAAGAAUGUGGAGAGAACAGAGAAAAGUGCAAGUUAAAAGACCAGUCAGACAAAGAAGAAGGCACCAGAGAUAUCUCAUCACCCAAAAGACUUCGAGAUAGACAAGCUUUGUUCCCUGCCAAAGUGACAAAUGUCAGCUUGCUGGAAAAGUUUGAACGAAGUGAGAGUGGUGGGAAGAUUAUGACCCCUGAAAGCUUAUCAUCUCCAAGUUGUCUGAAACAUGACAGUGAGAUGAAGCCCCAAACAUCUCCAGCUUGC
rnacentral:sRNA from 1 species